rnacentral:rRNA from 1 species
UUCCCCUUCGGGGGGACAGGGUGACAGGUGGUGCAUGGUUGUCGUCAGCUCGUGUCGUGAGAUGUUGGGUUAAGUCCCGCAACGAGCGCAACCCUCGACCUUAGUUGCCAGCAUUCAGUUGGGCACUCUAAGGUGACUGCCGGCUAAAAGUCGGAGGAAGGUGGGAUGACGUCAAAUCAUCAUGCCCCUUAUGACCUGGGCUACACACGUGCUACAAUGGGCGGUACAAAGGGUCGCGAACCCGCGAGGGGGAGCCAAUCCCAAAAAGCCGCUCUCAGUUCGGAUUGCAGGCUGCAACUCGCCUGCAUGAAGCCGGAAUCGCUAGUAAUCGCGGAUCAGCAUGCCGCGGUGAAUACGUUCCCGGGCCUU